GUAGGUGAACCUGCGGAAGGAUCAUUAACACGAAACUCCACGUUUCAUACCAACCUGUGGUCUUGUAACUUACUGUUUUUUGGGAUACUAAAGGCGUAAGAUUUAUCUUUGCCUCGGUUCUCAAAGAAUUUUUAUAUCAAAACCCCUUGUAUCAUCUAUUGACUGAACCAUGAGAAGUUUUUGAGUACCCUUUACUGUGGCGCUCGCUUCUUGAUAUUACGAAACUCUGGACAACUCUAAGCAACGGAUAUCUUGGUUCUC
rnacentral:misc_RNA from 1 species